rnacentral:rRNA from 1 species
CCUACGGGCGGCUGCAGUGGGGAAUAUUGGACAAUGGGGGCAACCCUGAUCCAGCCAUGCCGCGUGUGUGAAGAAGGCCCUCGGGUUGUAAAGCACUUUCAGUGAGGAAGAACGCCUGGUGGUUAAUACCCAUCAGGAAGGACAUCACUCACAGAAGAAGCACCGGCUAACUCCGUGCCAGCAGCCGCGGUAAUACGGAGGGUGCGAGCGUUAAUCGGAAUUACUGGGCGUAAAGCGCUCGUAGGUGGCUUGAUAAGCCGGUUGUGAAAGCCCCGGGCUCAACCUGGGAACGGCAUCCGGAACUGGCAAGCUAGAGUGCAGGAGAGGAAGGUAGAAUUCCCGGUGUAGCGGUGAAAUGCGUAGAGAUCGGGAGGAAUACCAGUGGCGAAGGCGGCCUUCUGGACUGACACUGACACUGAUGUGCGAAAGCGUGGGUAGCAAACAGGAUUAGAUACCCUUGUAGUC